UUCAGGAGUAGAGGCAGGGUCAAACCGUUUCUUUUUUGAACUUGGGAUUUGUUAGAUGUACUUUUUCUUUGGCAGGUCAGCGUCGAUUUCGGAGGUUGUAAAAUACUUGGGGGAAAGUAACUCUGCUUCGGGAGAGUAUUAUAGACCCUGGGGGAUGCAGCCUGCGGGAUCGAAGAUUGCAGCAAAUGCCUUUGGCUUGUCGCCUAUCUCUGGUUGUUACCUCUCUUGUGACAACAUUCUUGCCACCGGAGGGUACUAAUGCCCAUUACUUAGAGCGAUCGAAAAU
rnacentral:rRNA from 1 species